GUUGACCUCGGAUCANGUAGGACUACCCGCUGAACUUAAGCAUAUUAAUNAGCGAG
rnacentral:rRNA from 1 species